CGGACGGGUGAGUAAUGUAUGGGGAUCUGCCUGAUGGCGGGGGAUAACUACUGGAAACGGUAGCUAAUACCGCAUAAUGUCUACGGACCAAAGCGGGGGACCUCCGGGCCUCGCGCCAUCAGAUGAACCCAUAUGGGAUUAGCUUGUAGGUAAGGUAACGGCUUACCUAGGCGACGAUCCCUAGCUGGUCUGAGAGGAUGAUCAGCCACACUGGAACUGAGACACGGUCCAG
rnacentral:rRNA from 1 species